GGUCUUGUAGUUCAGGUGGUUAGAGCGUUGGUUGUACUGAAGCCUUCCCCUUUCGGUCGAGGGUUCGAAUCCCACCGAGGCUG
rnacentral:tRNA from 1 species